GCGGCGGGAGAGUCGUGAGGGCGCCGCGGGCCCGGACCCUGCCGGGGGCCCUGUCCGCCUCACCGAGGGCUCGGCAGCGCUCAGACACAGCCCGCGGGGCCUCCUCGCUGUCGGAGAUAGGCAGCCUCAGCCCCCUCCCGGCCCCCCGGCAGCCGGCGCGCGCGUUCGGGCCGUGCUGUGGGGGACAGGGGUCAGCUGAGGUGAAGGCAGAGCGGACGGGCCGCAGACGCAUCAAAGCUCUUAAGAUGCUUUGGGACGGAAAUUGCAGCCAGGAUCAGUCAGUAAGCAGUUCAGGAGCUCUGGGCAAGAGUAAUUUCUCUUCUUUCUUAGUCUGAGUUGGAAAGGACUUAAAGGAUCGUCGAGUCCAGCUCUUUGACUCCUGGUGGGGUUGUUUGUUUAUUCUCUUCAGAAGCCAGAAGAGAUCCCUCAGAGAGAAUCAAACACAUUUUUACCUUUCUGCAUAUCCAGGGAUGGUACCAGCAGCCCAGGUAAUAGACACCAGAAGCACAGGGGAAAUUUUUCAUCUUGAUAAAAGAGAGAAUUCUUUUCCAGUUGGAGCAACUGAGAGAGUCCCCAGCCCUGGAGGCUCUCCAGACACAGCUGGGCAGGUGCUGGAAAAUCCCACCUAGGCUUUGUUUUCCCCCAAAGGUGGCACCAGGUGAUGGUUUGGGGUCCCCACCAGCCUGGGGAGCUCUGUGAUCUGUGAGGAUUGUGAAAAAUGUGUCUUUUGUGAUUGGCUUUUCACAAAUAUUCACAUGAAUAUUAUAUGUGUUGUGUUAGAAAGUGGUGCUGUGUUCAUUUUUUUAGUAGUGUGUUAAAGACAGUUUUAGGUUAUAACAUAAUGUUAAAAUAGAAACUGUGCUAUGUAAGAUACUUUUUUUAAAGAGAGGACUUGCACCAAAACAGCAGCCACAGGACAUAAAUCUUUCAGAGAAAAAGAAUUUAUUGCCCUCUUAUCAAGUUCUUCCCACCUCACUCAGCCCUGAAGAUGCCAUUAAGAUUCCAAAAAAAAACCAUUGACACCGAUCAAACAAAAUUAUUUGUUUGAACAAAAUUUAUACAUCAUGUAUGAAAGAUAUGAAUAUGCAACAAGUUACUGCUUUUAAGGGUUAACGUGGGUCCUGGUUUGGGCUUAUUUUGCCCAGAAAAAGUACCUGGACUGUCUGUAACUCUUUGUUUUUAUUGUCUCAUAUUGUCUUAAUCCAAACUGUCCAAAUUAUUAUUACUCUAAUUGUAUUGCUGUUUUUAUAACCAUUUUAUUACUAUUCAACUUUCAAAA